rnacentral:rRNA from 1 species
AUUGAACGCUGGCGGCAUGCUUUACACAUGCAAGUCGAACGGCAGCGCGGGCUUCGGCCUGGCGGCGAGUGGCGAACGGGUGAGUAAUACAUCGGAACGUGCCCCGUAGUGGGGGAUAGCUCGGCGAAAGCCGGAUUAAUACCGCAUACGACCUGAGGGUGAAAGCGGGGGAUCUUCGGACCUCGCUCUAUUGUAGCGGCCGAUGGCAGAUUAGCUAGUUGGUGGGGUAAAGGCCUACCAAGGCGACGAUCUGUAGCUGGUCUGAGAGGACGACCAGCCACACUGGGACUGAGACACGGACCAGACUCCUACGGGAGGCAGCAGUGGGGAAUGUUGGACAAUGGGCGAAAGCAUGAUCCAGCAAGGCCGCGUGUGUGAUGAAGGCCUUCGGGUUGUAAAGAACUUUUGGCGGGAACGAAAAGGACUGUGCCAAGAACAAGGUUAGAUGACGGUACCCGCAGAAUAAGCACCGGCUAACUACGUG